rnacentral:rRNA from 1 species
AUUGAACGCUGGCGGCAGGCUUAACACAUGCAAGUCGAGCGAGCGGCGGACGGGUGAGUAAUGUCUGGGAAACUGCCUGAUGGAGGGGGAUAACUACUGGAAACGGUAGCUAAUACCGCAUACCAUCAGAUGUGCCCAGAUGGGAGUAGCUAGUAGGUGGGGUAAUGGCUCACAUAGGCGACGAUCCCUAGCUGGUCUGAGGGGAUGACCAGCCCCACUGGAACAUAGGCACGGUCCAGACGCCUACGCGAGGAAGCAUGGGGGAAUAUUGCACAAUGGGCGCAAGCCUGAUGCAGCCAUGCCGCGUGUGGGAAGAAGGCCUUCGGGUUGUAAAGUACUUUCAGCGAGGAGGCGUUACUCGCAGAAGAAGCACCGGCUAACUCCGUGCCAGCAGCCGCGGUAAUAC